AUUGAACGCUGGCGGCAGGCCUAACACAUGCAAGUCGAACGAGUGGCGGACGGGUGAGUAAUGUCUGGGAAACUGCCUGAUGGAGGGGGAUAACUACUGGAAACGGUAGCUAAUACCGCAUACCAUCGGAUGUGCCCAGAUGGGAUUAGCUGGUUGGGGGGGUAACGGCUCACCAAGGGGACGAUCCCUAGCUGCGCUGAGAGGAUGACCAGCCACACUGGAAAGUAGACACGGUCCAGACUCCUACGGGAGGCAGCAGUGGGGAAUAUUGCAAAAUGGGGUCAAGCCUGAUGCAGCCAUGCCGUGUGUAUGAAGAAGGCCUUCGGGUUGUAAAGUACUGUCAGCGGGGAGGCGUUACCCGCAGAAGAAGCACCGGCUAACUCCGUGCCAGCAGCCGCGGUAAUUC
rnacentral:rRNA from 1 species